CAAUAGCGUAUAUUAAAGUUGUUGCAGUUAAAAAGCUCGUAGUUGGAUUUGUGGCGUACGGUGUGUUCCGGGCACUUGUUGUCUGAGUAACCUGCUGUUGCCAUCCUUGGGUGGAACCUGUGUGGCAUUAGGUUGUCGUGCAGGGGAUGCCCAUCAUUUACUGUGAAAAAAUUAGAGUGUUCAAAGCAGGCUUAUGCCGUUGAAUAUAUUAGCAUGGAAUAAUGAGAUAGGACUUUUUUGCUAUUUUGUUGGUUUGCGCAAAGAGGUAAUGAUUAAUAGGGACAGUUGGGGGUAUUCGUAUUCCAUUGUCAGAGGUGAGAUUCUUGGAUUUUUGGAAGACGAGCUACUGCGAAAGCAUUUACCAAGGAUGUUUUCAUUAA
rnacentral:rRNA from 1 species